CACGUAGGCGGCCAUUCAAGUCAGAGGUGAAAGCCCGGGGCUCAACCCCGGAACUGCCUUUGAAACUAGAUGGCUUGAAUCUCGGAGAGGCGAGUGGAAUUCCGAGUGUAGAGGUGAAAUUCGUAGAUAUUCGGAAGAACACCAGUGGCGAAGGCGACUCGCUGGGCAAGUAUUGACGCUGAGGUGCGAAAGCGUGGGGAGCAAACA
rnacentral:rRNA from 1 species